rnacentral:ncRNA from 2 species
CGCAUUCACCAGGGGGGUCCCGCAAGGGGCUGAGAGUCUGCUGAGCUUUUUCGAAAGCAGCGCAGUGACCCGUUGAACCUGAUCCAGUUCAUACUGGCGUAGGGACGGUGCGAGCGCUGCAAU